GGGAAAUGAGAGGAGGGGCCAGCCCCAGGCCCUGUAGCAGCAAUGUUAUGGGGUA
rfam:Mus musculus chromosome 2, GRC primary reference assembly.